CCCCAGCCCAACAGACAUUUUUCAAAAGAAGAAUACAAAUAUACAAAAAAAAAAAAAGCUUUAGCAUCCCUAGCAAUUAGGGAAAUGAAAAUCAAAACUACACUAAGAUUCCAUUUCACCCUGAUUAGAAUGGCAAUUUUCAAGAAUAAAAACAGUAAUAAAUAUUGGGGAGGGUGUGGGUAAAAAGGUAUAUUCAUCCAUUGUUGAUAGAACUGAAAAUUAGUAUAACUACUUUGGAAAGCAGCAUGGAGAUUCCUCUAAGACUAGGAAUGUAGCCAUCAUAUGACCCAGAUCUUUCAUUGCUUGUAUUUACCAGUAAGAACUAAAAUCACCAUAUAAUAGAGAUACAGGCACAACAGUGUCAAUUUAAGGAAGCAGCCCAAGUGCCCAUCAAUAGAUGAAUGGAUCAAGAAAAUAAAUAUACAUACAUAAUGGAGUUUCACUCAGAAGAAUGAAAUGAUGACAUUUCUCGUUAAAUGGGUGGAGCUGGAGAAUAUCAUGUUAAGUGAAAUAAGUCAGACAUAGAAAGUCAAGAGUCCAAUGUUCUUGCUCAUAUGUGGAAGCUAGAGCAUGAAAAGGGGGCAAAGGCAGGGAGGGGAGAAUCCCAUGAUAAAAGAAGGAACAUCAUUAGACUGAGGAAAGGGAAACUGGGUAGGGAAGAGGGAUGGGAAAAGGAAGGAAUGGUGCAAUUAAAUUGACCAAAUUUUACUAUGUAUGUAUUUGAAUAUACCACAGUGAAUUUCACCUUUAUGUACAUCUAUUAAGAAACAAUAAAUAAAUAAAUACAAGGGAAACCAGUAGGCUAGAGGAAAGAGAACCAGGAAAAGAGAGGAGGGAAAGGCAAGAGGAACAACUAAACACUGAAGUGGAACAAAUUAUAUUUCAUGCAUGUGUAAUUAUGUCACAUGAAGUCUACUAUUAUGUAUAAUAAUACUAAUGCACUAAUAAAACAUUUAUAUAAAGAGAUGAUGGUUGAUAUUCAUAUCUUGGUCUUUGCAGUAUGAUGGCAAAUGCUAGUAUUUAGCUAGUAUAAUGAAGUCAACAUUAAUUUUUAGAACUUUUUUUAUCAUAUUUGUAGAUUGUCUUGAUUCAUUUUGCUCUUGGAUUUAUAAACUCUGAAGUGUUUAUAUAUUUUAUAAAUGACUCCCAACUUUUAUUCAUAAAUUCAUGUGUUCUUUUUGUUAAUUUCAUUUUUAAAAAAUUAAUGUCUUCUAAAUUUGGUUUUUCUUUGUGCAAUAUGAACAUAUAUUUCCAUUGCUUACACAUACCCUACUAGACCUGUUUCCUGAGUUCACUAUCUUUU
rnacentral:lncRNA from 1 species